UACGUAGGGCGCAAGCGUUAUCCGGAAUUAUUGGGCGUAAAGAGCUCGUAGGCGGUUUGUCGCGUCGGCUGUGAAACCUUGGGGCUCAACCCCAAGCCUGCAGUCGAUACGGGCAGGCUAGAGUUCGGUAGGGGAGAUCGGAAUUCCUGGUGUAGCGGUGAAAUGCGCAGAUAUCAGGAGGAACACCGGUGGCGAAGGCGGAUCUCUGGGCCGAUACUGACGCUGAGGAGCGAAAGCGUGGGGAGCGAACAGG
rnacentral:rRNA from 1 species